CCUACGGGAGGCUGCAGUGGGGAAUAUUGCGCAAUGGGCGAAAGCCUGACGCAGCGACGCCGCGUGAGGGAUGAAGGUCUUCGGAUCGUAAACCUCUGUCAGCAGGGAAGAACGGUCACUGUGCUAAUCAGCAGUGAAUUGACGGUACCUGCAAAGGACGCACCGACUAACUCCGUGCCAGCAGCCGCGGUAAUACGGGGGGUGCGAGCGUUAAUCGGAAGUACUGGGCGUAAAGCGCUCGUAGGCGGUAUGUCAAGUCAAGGGUGAAAUCCCCGCGCUCAACGUGGGAACUGCCUUGGAAACUGGCAAACUGGAGUGUGUGAGAGGAUAGUGGAAUUCCAGGUGUAGGAGUGAAAUCCGUAGAUAUCUGGAGGAACAUCAGUGGCGAAGGCGACUAUCUGGCACAUAACUGACGCUGAGGAGCGAAAGCGUGGGUAGCAAACAGGAUUAGAUACCCUGGUAGUC
rnacentral:rRNA from 1 species